UUUGCCCAGCCUGUCCCUCCCAAGUGAAAGCUGCCACCCCCCCACCCCGCCCCCCCCACCCCCCCCCCUUUCCUCCCAGAAUAAUUAGCAUGUUCCAGUGCUGUGAAUGGAAACAAUAUCCUCCCUCCAAGCUGUGCCCCUCCAGGGAGAUGCUUCCCACAGAUUGUGAAACUCUGAGCCAGGGAAAGGGCUUGCCGAGGAAUUCACAGUGGGGUAAUUACACUGAGGUAGCUUGUGCCCGGUGCAAGAUAAGUUGCAUUACUGUAAUUCAUUGCAGGAGGCAGGGGCUCGCAUAAAGGAAAUGUCCAGAGGCAAGACUGCAGAGCCAUGAGAAGUCAUCGCCUUCCCAGAGCCCCGAUAAAACCCGACGUUGAAGCUGAGGAUGGUUCUUUGGCCUCCGAGGAUGUCUCCGUCUUCAGAGAAGUUUGCAGAACGUAGCAACGAUCACGUGCGAAUCUGGUUUCUCUUUGGCAAUUAGAAUGGAAGAAAGGUUGAAAGGGUGACUCAACAGAAAAAACAUCACCCUCCACUUGCGGCUCAUCAUGCCCAGCUGUAAAGCGGGGAUUAUAUUUACCUCCAUUGCAAAGUACUCGGUUUCAGAAGACGUUGGUGCGGUUUGCUGAGGCCCCGGCUGGAAAAUACCACAAGAAGUUCAAAGCCCGGUUUCAUCCUGUAAUUGGAUCCUCAAGUCCACAAGUGCAAGAACCAACUGUGCGGGCUGACAGCAGGUCCUCCCUCUUCCAACAAGAACCCCACCACAACACGGGGCUGUGGGGCUGAGCUGCAAGCGUGGCAUACCCAGGAGCUGCUACUUUCUGCUGCUAUGCACAAAAAAAUGUUUUUAAAGCUUUUGCCACCCUGUUUGAUCUGACCUGCUGUUAUUUUUUCUUUCUUUUUUUUUUUUUUUAACUCUAAGACAUCUUCUUAACUCUCAUGCUCACUUGGGAUGCUCUUAAGAACAUGGACUUUAAUCCCAGUGUUACUUAAAUACCAAUUUAAUAUUUGUUUUCUCUCUGCCUUGACAAGAUAUUCCUCAGGUCAAGCAGGCAUGAAAUGAUAGAUAUUGAGUGCAAUUCUUCUGGGCAAGAAGAGCUACCUUCUAAGAUCUUAUCUCAAAACCACUUGGAAAUGUGUUCUUUAUUUAUUUAUGCCAUAAAAUCUCAUUCGAUGUUGAAGGCCCAAAGGAUUACAAUUCUGAAUUUGUUGGUUUGCUGUUUUGUUUUCUUUUUUUUUUUCCCCCCGUCCUUGCUGAAAUCUGGCCUUUCAAAAUAACACAGAGAGAAUCUUUGUUUUGAUCUAAAAUAGCAGCUGCAAGGGCUUUUAAAUGACCAUUUAAAUGAGAUUUCUUUUUUUGCAUCUUCGCAUUAUAGUUUCAUUCUCGGUCUCUGAGAUCAGUAGCUGCGGUUGAGCAGCCGAGCCGUCUAAUGGGAAUAAAUUGUAAUAUUGUUCCAA